rnacentral:lncRNA from 10 species
GCCUCAUGAAACCACAGCACACUGUUAGGAGCUACCAGCCUGUCACAAGUGGGUGUGAAGGUUGCCUAGAGGAGACUACCAGGAGAUAACACUGAAGGGGUGGAUUAGGAAAGCCCUUGUGCACCAUCUUGAACUUUACCUUGAAUGCAAUGGAGAGCUGUGAAAGGGCUUUAAGCAAGGCCCAGGCCUCACUGAAUCUGUGGUUUAGAAAGAACUCUCUGGUUACAAGAUGGAGCAUGGAUGCAAGCGAGAUCAUUUGUGCUGUCAGCAUGCAGUUUUUCCAGUUCAGUAAAGUAGGUCAUAUAGGAAUAUUGGAUUCAUCUGUGCCACUCUUG